GAGAUUAUUGGUACAGACCAGUGAUGUCAGCAAUGAGCUUGAUAGCGUGACAAAGUGGAAGUGGUGAAAAGCAAAUACUAGCCAGUGAACACUCAGGUAGUAGACAGAUGUAUAGUUACAGAUCUUCCUUAUUACGCAUAAGCUUCAUUAAUACUCAAUGCAAAUAACUUCUUCCAUCAUUCUCGCCGCACAACUGAAAAACACAAGAGCGUAUCACCCAGGUGCCAGUGAGGAAUUCACAGGCAACAAACUGCAAAAGAGACAUAUUUUAAAUGUGAAAAUGAUUUCGAUCUACGUGAUCACAGUAGCUUUGGCAGUGACUGCUGUGGGACAAAGGUCUUCAGAAUGCAAUCUAACUGAACCUGGACCCCAGACGUGUUUUGGAGUUUUAGGAGAACCACUCGUUUUUUACAUACCUACUAAACCACAUGUGAAGACAAGCUUGAAAAAGAGUACAGAAAAAUUUUUAACCUUAAUAAGUGAUACAUUAAUUAGUCUCAAUGAAAAAUACAAGAAUCGUACUAUAUUUUUCCCAAAUGGUACAUUGAAGCUCGAAAAAGCAACAAAACAUGACUCUGGAGAGUACAGCAUGGAAACACACAGUUCUACUGACGGUGUGUUAUUGCACACAGUUAACAUCCAUCUACAUAUACUAGCUCCUGUGUCAGAACCAGCUGUAUCUCAGGUGUGUUUGUCACGCAAACAGAUGACAGUCAGCUGCUCCUCUGAAGGAGAUGAAGUAGAGUUCACCUUGUUUUUGGAUGAUAACUUGUUGAUACAGCCUACAGCCAACAGUACAGAAAACAACAGCGUUUCAAAUGUUACCAUCAACUUACCUGGUCAGCUGAUGGGAAACCUGACAUGUGUUGCUCAAAACAUUGUCAGCAGAGAACAAACAAUCAUCCACCUUACAAGCUGUGCAGCUCUUGUGUCAAAACCUGCUGUAUCUCAGGUCUGUUUGUCACCAGAACAAAAGACAGUCAGUUUUUCCUCUGAAGGAGAUGAAGUAGAGUUCAUCUUGCUUUUAGAUGAUAACCUGUUGAUAAAAACCCAACCCAAGAUUGCAGAAAACCACAGCAUUUCAAAUGUUACCAUCAGCGUACAUGGUGAACUGAUGGGAAAGCUGAUGUGUAUCGUUCAAAACAAUAUAAGCAGAGAACAAACCGUCAUCCACCUUAUAAGCUGUACAGGUUUGUAUUUCAUGGAAAUAUAAAAAGUUUUUAUCUAUAGCUUCCACCUGUAUGGAUAGGUUGGCUUUCAGAAAUUUAACAGUCUGCUGUAUUAAAAGCAAGGACAAAUCUAGUACAGCGAAUUGUUGUAACUCUUUAUGUACCAUCCAGCAUUUACAUGAUCUCAACUCUUAAAGCAUUCAUAUUUGAUUUUUCUAGGUACAAAUUCUCCAGUUUCUGUGGUGAUUGUGGUUGUACUAACAAGUGUUGCCGCUCUACUUCUCACUUUACUUUUUACUGUUAAUAAAGAUGUUGCUGUAAAUAACAUUUUUUACUCCAAAAUUGUAUAUGAAGAAAACAUCACUCACACAAAGGCCACAGCCAGAUGAGGGAGUCAGUCUGAGGGCUUUCUUAUUUGGAGGAAACAGUGCGAACCACCACGCCACCAUGCUGCGUCUGCCCAUACAUUAUUACUUAUUUACAAGUCUGC
ensembl:lncRNA